GGAGGGGGCGAUGAGCGUCCUGCUCCCCAACAUGGCGGACUUUGACACUAUCUAUGAGCUGGAGGAGGAGGAGGAAGAAGAACAAGACGAGGCGCCGACGGCAGAGGAGGAGUCUCAGACUGUGGUGAGGAGUCAGGAGCUGCCGCGGCCCCGGGACGCGCCCGAACCCGUGGCUGUGAGGGGCGCCGGGCAUAUCACUGUGUUUGGCUUGAGCAACAAGUUUGAAACAGAAUUUCCCUCUAUUCUGACAGGGAAGGUUGCCCCAGAAGAAUUCAAGACCAGCAUCAGUCGUGUGAAUGCAUGUUUAAAGAAGAAUCUGCCCAUCAAUGUAAAAUGGCUUCUCUGUGGGUGUUUGUGCUGUUGCUGCACACUGGGAUGCAGCCUGUGGCCUGCUGUCUGUCUUAACAAAAGAACUAGAAGAUCAAUUCAGAAAUUGUUAGAAUGGGAAAAUAACAGAUUAUAUCACAAGCUUGGCUUGCACUGGAAGUUGAGUAAAAGGAAAUGCGAGACUAGCAAUAUGAUGGAGUAUGUAAUACUAAUAGAAUUCUUACCAAAAUAUCCCAUAUUUCGACCCGACUGAGGAGCAGUAUUACCUUUCAUGUUACCUGUCAUUUCCUACCUGUAGUGCCUUGUAGGGGAUGUUGGAGAGAAGAUGGUCUACUUUGCUGUGAUUUAAAAACAAAAGUGUUCUUUGAUCAAGAGUGCCUGUGGAAUCUUUUGUCUCAUGGACUUCCGUGGAGAUUCCUUAGUACGCUUGGUAUUGCACAACAAGAAAUUCUGAGGUAUGUGGUACAACUUCAACACGGUUGAAAUUUGAGCCUUGAAAUGUUAGUGUCGUAUCCAGACUCCAGGAAGAAAUUCCCUAUGGCAAACUAUCCAAUUGGAUUUUAAAAUGGAAUGUCAAUAAUUAAAAGUGAGCUAACAGCUCAAUAGAACUUUGUGCUGUGCUGACACCUUCUUUCAUUACUCAACCAUAUCUGUAGGUGUUUCAUGGUGUUGAACAGGAGGUUAGAAAGCAGCAUGAAUCCUUGCAAGGCCAAAUAAUAUUAAUAUAAGAAGUGAAAUGUAGCAUAGUGUUUUUCUAUUCAUUAUAAAGUGUUGAGAGUUAUAAAUUGCCAAAAAGGCUAAUUUUAAAUAUUUUUUUGCCUGAUGUAACCGAAGCUUCUUAUAGCACAGAUUAACACCAAAUCCCAGAAAUCUCACCCAGUCCCCACCCUUAAGUGAAGUGUCUUUUUGGAUAGUAAUGAGAAGGUUAAGCAUGUUCUUAGUGCUCCUUCUAAUCAAUGCUGAAUACUUUCCAUGUGUCAUUUUAGCCAAGUUCGCAUUGUUCUGUGGUUCCGGUAGGAUUCUUUUCAGUCUGUUUUCAAAUAAUUGUAAUAUUGUGCCAAGUUAAAAUGUCAACUUUCCUCAUUUCGGCAGUAUGUCUUCAUUUGAGACGUGGGCCUAGAAAAAAUAAAUUUACCGAAGAGGCUGACUCCCCUCCCUCUGAACGUAUUAUGUGGAACUCAUUUCCAUAGGCUUUAGUGGGACAUGCUUCCAGUUGACUCUUUUUUUUCUUUGUAGGAUUGGGUUAUGAAUCUUGGAGCUUUUAGACUCCGUGAAUUCCAAACUUUGUCUACUAAAGGGGCCAUACUUGCAAUUUUUCAGGCGUGUGAAAGCUCUAAUGAAGAAAACAUGGUCCAACGUGGUGCUACUUUUAUAGUAGCAUUCAGUAUUUUAUUGUUGGCACAAAUGACACACUGCAUUUUUACAAAUGCUUCCCAAACCACCUUGAGUUGUAGCAGUGCUAGUAACAAUUUAGGGAUUGUUUACACAAUGUAAGCUCCCUUUUCCUCCCUGCUCCAUGUGUUGAUUGAUCAGUAGUGAGAUGUUAUGGAGCUACUGGACAUUCCACUUUCCUGUCAGCUGCAGCAGGUCUGAGGCACGUGUAUUUUACACAUACCUCAGACUCCUUUACUACUUUUGAGCUAUCCUAUCCAAUACUAUAGAAGGUGGUAAAGCCUGGACAGAAUAUAUUUUUUCUGUGUGCUUCAUGACCUGGUUAACGUAAUAUCUAAAUAUUUGUAUAAUAGAGCAGUAUUGCCUCCAAUUUAAAAGUAAAUUACAUCGGAGUCUAAUUUCUGUAGUGGACUAAUCUGGUUCAAGGGCCCCAGUCACGAGUGGAUGCGCUGCACGAUUGGGGGGGGGGACACCCCAUUACCCUUUAUGGCAUUAAGAGGAUUUGGGGGUGCAACUCUUUGGUUUCAUGGGGCCACGUGCAUCCCCCAAGAUUCCCUGCAGUGCUCUUGAAUUACAUUUUGAAUCAGCUGCUCCUUCCACGCCAGCCUUCAAGCUGAAUUCUUGUGCAGCUUGGCCAGUUUGUGUGGCAGAGAUGCCCUUUCUUCAUAACCUUAACUCAUUAAUUAAUUCAUUGGUAGGGUGUUCUUCAAUAACACACGUCCAAAUAGCAGAAGAGAAAGAGCCUUGAAUUGUUGAAAUGAAACGAAAUGUACAGAGCUGAAUGCCUAAAGCUUUGGUAUUUCAUUGGUAGCGCCUUGCUGAUUUUAUACCAUUGCUCCCUACACAGUUCAGAGCCAUUCUACAUGUUAUGCAAGAAUUGUGAAGUAUUCCACAGGUAAGGUGUGCCAUACAUAUGUGUAUGUGUGAAUCUCUUCCACAUUAAAAAAUAACAAAAGCUUCCUGCAAAAACUAGCACACCCGGUUUAGUGUCGGCAACACUAACCUUUAGCCCUGAUAUACUGCUCGCUACAUGUAUUUAACGUGGGGGAGCAUCGCACCUGCAGUCUGCAGUCUACCCUAUCAGUCUGUAUAACGUUUAGACUGGCUGUUCAUUUUGUCUUCCAGAAUUGGGAGACCGAGGUGAGCGUGAGACCAGGGAUAGUUCACGCACACUUCCAGGCAGGUCCUCUGCCAAUCCAGCCUUCCCCAACUUAGCCUCCUCCUAAUGGGUUGGGCAACAUCUCCCAGCAUCCCUCAGCCAGCUGUGCUGGCUGAGGGAUGCUGGAAGAUGUUACCCAACACAUCUGGAGAGCGCUAGCUUGGGGCAGGCUGUACUAAUCAAUGGGACUUCAGUCGUGUUGGUAUACCGUUAAAUGGGCCUUCUUUCUCUCUCUGCCCCACUCUAAACUGCAGACUAUGUUCUUAGUAAACUUAGCACAUCUUAGUAAACUUACCCCACCCCUUUCUUAACCUGAUUAAAUCCAAAACUCGAAAUGCUCAACUGAAUAUUGCAUUUUAAUGUCCUGACGUCGUCUGAUCACAUACAUCUGAAAGCAGCGCUAGCAUUGAGCAAUAAGGGGUGGGGUGGGGUGAAUCAAAGUGUGUUGACACUGAGUGUAAAUAGUUAAACCAGUUUAGUAAACAACGUUACAUGAAGUAUGUUCAUGUUCUGCAACUUUUGUGCAUUUUUGUGUUUAUAGUUAUAGCAUUGUUUGUAACUCAUGAAACUUCUUUGUUAAACUGUAUGCAUUUUAAUUAAGUCCUUAACACUUCUGUUGUUUACAAAGUAAUAGCCACUUUUUUAAUAGGACCUCAUGCCUUGAAGUUUUUACAAUAAAAAUCUAA